rnacentral:rRNA from 1 species
AUUGAACGCUGGCGGCAGGCCUAACACAUGCAAGUCGAACGGUAACAGGAAGAAGCUUGCUUCUUUGCUGACGAGUGGCGGACGGGUGAGUAAUGUCUGGGAAACUGCCUGAUGGAGGGGGAUAACUACUGGAAACGGUAGCUAAUACCGCAUAACGUCGCAAGACCAAAGAGGGGGACCUUCGGGCCUCUUGCCAUCGGAUGUGCCCAGAUGGGAUUAGCUAGUAGGUGGGGUAACGGCUCACCUAGGCGACGAUCCCUAGCUGGUCUGAGAGGAUGACCAGCCACACUGGAACUGAGACACGGUCCAGACUCCUACGGGAGGCAGCAGUGGGGAAUAUUGCACAAUGGGGGCAAGCCUGAUGCAGCCAUGCCGCGUGUAUGAAGAAGGCCUUCGGGUUGUAAAGUACUUUCAGCGGGGAGGAAGGGAGUAAAGUUAAUACCUUUGCUCAUUGACGUUACCCGCAGAAGAAGCACCGGCUAACUCCGUG